rnacentral:rRNA from 1 species
AUACGGAGGGUGCGAGCGUUAAUCGGAAUUACUGGGCGUAAAGCGCACGUAGGCGGUUUGUUAAGUCGGAUGUGAAAUCCCCGGGCUCAACCUGGGACCUGCAUCCGAUACUGGCAGGCUAGAGUCUGGUAGAGGGGGGUAGAAUUCCUGGUGUAGCGGUGAAAUGCGUAGAUAUCAGGAGGAAUACCAGUGGCGAAGGCGGCCCCCUGGACUGAGACUGACGCUGAGGUGCGAAAGCGUGGGGAGCAAACAGGAUUAGAUACCCUAGUAGUCC